rnacentral:rRNA from 1 species
GAUGAACGCUAGCGGCAGGCCUAACACAUGCAAGUCGAGGGGUAUAGUUCUUCGGAACUAGAGACCGGCGCACGGGUGCGUAACGCGUAUGCAAUCUACCUUUUACAGGGGAAUAGCCCAGAGAAAUUUGGAUUAAUGCCCCAUAGUGUUAUAGAAUCGCAUGGUUUUAUAACUAAAGUUCCAACGGUAAAAGAUGAGCAUGCGUCCCAUUAGUUAGUUGGUAAGGUAACGGCUUACCAAGACAAUGAUGGGUAGGGGUCCUGAGAGGGAGAUCCCCCACACUGGUACUGAGACACGGACCGAGACUCCUACGGGAGGGCAGCGAGUGAGGAAUAAUUGGACGAAAUGGGCGGCAAGACCUGAUCCAGCCAUGCCGCGUGCAGGAAGACGGUCCUAUGGAUUGUAAACUAGCUUUUGUUACAGGAAGAAACACUCCCUCGUGA